UAGGGAAUCUUCGGCAAUGGGGGGAACCCUGACCGAGCAACGCCGCGUGAGUGAAGAAGGUUUUCGGAUCGUAAAGCCCUGUUGUUAAGGAAGAACGAGUGUGAGAAUGGAAAGUUCAUACUGUGACGGUACUUAACCAGAAAGGGACGGCUAACUACGUGCCAGCAGCCGCGGUAAUACGUAGGUCCCGAGCGUUGUCCGGAUUUAUUGGGCGUAAAGCGAGCGCAGGCGGUUAGAUAAGUCUGAAGUUAAAGGCAGUGGCUCAACCAUUGUAGGCUUUGGAAACUGUUUAACUUGAGGGCAGAAGGGGAGAGUGGAAUUCCAUGUGUAGCGGUGAAAUGCGUAGAUAUAUGGAGGAACACCGGUGGCGAAAGCGGCUCUCUGGUCUGUAACUGACGCUGGGGCUCGAAAGCGUGGGGAGCGAACAGG
rnacentral:rRNA from 1 species